GCGGCGCGGGGGUAGGGUCUGGUGCAGCGGAGACCGCUGCAUGCCGGCGCCGCGCUCCGCUUCCGCCGGCUGGGCCUGCCACCCCUACAGCGGUGGUGAGGCUUAAUUGGCCUUGUCUGGCCUCCACGCCAAGGCAGCAGCAGGACCAGGGCACCUCCGGCGUCCCUAGGCUGAGCGGACAGGCCGGCAAACGGCAGCCGGGCCGGCUGGGGAAGCCUGGUGCGCGCCGUCGGCUGGGACUGCAGUUUUGGUUUUAUGUGGACUUUAUAAAAAUGCUGCAUUUCACUGUCUUGCUUCUCCAGUUUUCUCCAUCUCUUUACCUGCCUGGAAAAAGCUGAUACUUCAUUGUCCAUUGGAGUAAGGAACCGGUCUGAGUAAGUUUUGUGGUGAAGGUGAAAAGUGCACAGUGAGGAAGAUAUACGGCCUUCAUCCCCGAGACCCCGGCCCACGACCACCAAGAGGCACUGCGCGUGCGCAGCUGAGAGGAGUUAAAGGCGGAGACAAUGGAAAUGAACUCAUUGUAAUAAGACCACCUUUCCGCGGAAAGAUCAUGAAUAUGUAUAGGUGCUUUUUGAAUAUGUAACAUUCUAUCGUAUAAAACUCAAAGGGAAUUGCUGCAAGGCGCGCACGAUUUUGGUGGGACGACCCCCCGUGCUGCCCAGCGCUGAAUAAACAUACCUACUUUACAACUUCACAGGUUGUGGAGUCUGU